rnacentral:rRNA from 1 species
UAGCUAGUUGGUGAGGUAAAGGCUUACCAAGGCGACGAUCUGUAGCGGGUCUGAGAGGAUGAUCCGCCACACUGGAACUGAGACACGGUCCAGACUCCUACGGGAGGCAGCAGUGGGGAAUUUUGGACAAUGGGGGCAACCCUGAUCCAGCCAUGCCGCGUGAGUGAAGAAGGCCUUCGGGUUGUAAAGCUCUUUCGGCCGGGAAGAAAUCGCAUGGGCCAAUACCCUGUGUGGAUGACGGUACCGGAAUAAGAAGCACCGGCUAACUACGUACCAGCAGCCGCGGUAAUACGUAGGGUGCGAGCGUUAAUCGGAAUUACUGGGCGUAAAGCGUGCGCAGGCGGUUUUGUAAGACAGGCGUGAAAUCCCCGGGCUUAACCUGGGAACUGCGUUUGUGACUGCAAGGCUAGAGUACGGCAGAGGGGGGUGGAAUUCCACGUGUAGCAGUGAAAUGCGUAGAGAUGUGGAGGAACACCAAUGGCGAAGGCAGCCCCCUGGGUCAAUACUGACGCUCAUGCACGAAAGCGUGGGUAGCAAACAGGAUUAGAUACCCUGGUAGUCCACGCCCUAAACUAUGUCAACUAGGUGUUGGGUGGGUAAAACCAUUUAGUACCGUAGCUAACGCGUGAAGUUGACCGCCUGGGGAGUACGGCCGCAAGGUUAAAACUCAAAGGAAUUGACGGGGACCCGCACAAGCGGUGGAUGAUGUGGAUUAAUUCGAUGCAACGCGAAAAACCUUACCUACCCUUGACUUGCCAGGAACUUGCCAGAGAUGGCUUGGUGCCCGAAAGGGAGCCUGGACACAGGUGCUGCAUGGCUGUCGUCAGCUCGUGUCGUGAGAUGUUGGGUUAAGUCCCGCAACGAGCGCAACCCUUGUCGUUAAUUGCCAUCAUUUAGUUGGGCACUUUAACGAGACUGCCGGUGACAAACCGGAGGAAGGUGGGGAUGACGUCAAGUCCUCAUGGCCCUUAUGGGUAGGGCUUCACACGUCAUACAAUGGUCGGUACAAAGGGUUGCCAAGCCGCGAGGCGGAGCCAAUCCCAGAAAGCCGAUCGUAGUCCGGAUUGCAGGCUGCAACUCGCCUGCAUGAAGUCGGAAUCGCUAGUAAUCGUGGAUCAGCAUGUCACGGUGAAUACGUUCCCGGGUCUUGUACACACCGCCCGCCACACCAUGGGAGCGGGUUCCGCCAGAAGUAGGUAGCCUAACCGCAAGGGGGGCGCUUACCACGGCGGGGUUCGUGACUGGGGUGAAGUCGUAACAAGGUAGCCGUAGGGGAACCUGCGGCUG